CAAGCGUUAUUCGGAAUUAUUGGGCGUAAAGGGCGCGUAGGCGGCAUGGCAAGUGGAUGGUGAAAUCCCUCGGCUUAACCGAGGAACUGCCGUCCAAACUGCUUCGCUUGAGACCGGGAGAGGUGAGUGGAAUUCCCAGUGUAGCGGUGAAAUGCGUAGAUAUUGGGAGGAACACCAGUGGCGAAGGCGGCUCACUGGACCGGUACUGACGCUGAAGCGCGAAAGCGUGGGGAGCAAACGGG
rnacentral:rRNA from 1 species